rnacentral:rRNA from 1 species
GACGAACGCUGGCGGCGUGCCUAAUACAUGCAAGUUGAGCGAUGAAGAUUGGUGCUUGCACCAAUUUGAAGAGCAGCGAACGGGUGAGUAACGCGUGGGGAAUCUGCCUUUGAGCGGGGGACAACAUUUGGAAACGAAUGCUAAUACCGCAUAACAACUUUAAACAUAAGUUUUAAGUUUGAAAGAUGCAAUUGCAUCACUCAAAGAUGAUCCCGCGUUGUAUUAGCUAGUUGGUGAGGUAAAGGCUCACCAAGGCGAUGAUACAUAGCCGACCUGAGAGGGUGAUCGGCCACAUUGGGACUGAGACACGGCCCAAACUCCUACGGGAGGCAGCAGUAGGGAAUCUUCGGCAAUGGACGAAAGUCUGACCGAGCAACGCCGCGUGAGUGAAGAAGGUUUUCGGAUCGUGAAACUCUGUUGGUAGAGAAGAACGUUGGUGAGAGUGGAAAGCUCAUCAAGUGACGGUAACUACCCAGAAAGGGACGGCUAACUACGUG